rnacentral:rRNA from 1 species
CCUACGGGGGGCUGCAGUGGGGAAUAUUGCGCAAUGGGCGAAAGCCUGACGCAGCGACGCCGCGUGAGGGAUGAAGGUCUUCGGAUCGUAAACCUCUGUCAGCAGGGAAGAACGGUCACUGUGCUAAUCAGCAGUGAAUUGACGGUACCUGCAAAGGAAGCAUCGGCUAACUCCGUGCCAGCAGCCGCGGUAAUACGGAGGGUGCGGGCGUUAAUCGGAAUUACUGGGCGUAAGGCGCUCGUAGGCGGUAUGUCAAGUCAAGGGUGAAAUCCCCGGGCUCAACGUGGGAACUGCCGUUGAAACUGGCAAACUUGAGUGUGAGAGAGGAUAGUGGAAUUCCAGGUGUAGGAGUGAAAUCCGUAGAUAUCUGGAGGAACAUCAGUGGCGAAGGCGACUAUCUGGCACAUAACUGACGCUGAGGAGCGAAAGCGUGGGUAGCAAACAGGAUUAGAUACCCUUGUAGUC